UACGUAGGUGGCAAGCGUUGUCCGGAUUUAUUGGGUUUAAAGGGUGCGUAGGCGGCUUUUUAAGUCAGUGGUGAAAGCCGAUCGCUUAACGAUCGAACUGCCAUUGAUACUGAGAGGCUUGAGUAGAGUUGAGGUAGGCGGAAUUGACAGUGUAGAGGUGAAAUGCAUAGAUAUUGUGAAGAACACCAGUUGCGAAGGCAGCUUACUAGAGUAUAACUGACGCUGAGGCACGAAAGUGUGGGGAUCAAACAGG
rnacentral:rRNA from 1 species